UCCCUGAUGGCUCAGCUGGUAAAGAAUUCGCCUGCAAUGCAGGAGACCUGGGUUCGAGUCCCAGGUUGGGAA
rnacentral:tRNA from 1 species